ensembl:lncRNA novel transcript
AUUCUGCCGCCCUGUGAAGAGGGUGCCUGCUUUUCCUUUGCCUUCUGCCAUGAUUGUAAGUUUCCUGAGGCCUUCCCAGCGAUGUGGAACUGAAACCACACAUUCAAAAUAAUGCUAACCUGUCAAGUUAUUGAUCUGCACUGUACAUAUUUCCUGGUCAUAGGCAGCUUCCACACAAGAACAUCUGGAUGCAAAUUAAAGAAUUCAAUUACUCAAGCCUAAGCACAGCGGGGGACAGCAGGAGUGCAACACAGUAACUUAAUAUAAUAUGGAGCUGCUAUUAUGGAGGGAAACAUUCACUGCUCUGAAAGGACUCAACAGCUGAGUCUUAAAGAAGGAUUUUACAAGAUUGACAAAGAAAUGGGUUAUCUCCAGAUAGGAAGGAAAAAUCACAAGGAAUAGUACAGCAAGGAAAGAGGAAACAGCACUGGACUUGGGGAAAAGGGAAAUCCUUGAGAUGUUGCUAAGGCAUAAAGAGCAAGACAGAGAGUGUCAGAAGAUGACACUGACGUCACCUGACUCCUGCUGCUGAGCUUCUCUGACAUUUUCUCAAGGGCUCAAGGCUUGGAUACCCUCUGAUAUGGUUUAUCUGUGUCCCCGCCCAAAUCUCACCUUGGUUUGUAAUCAUCUCCAUGUGUCAAGAAUGGGACCAGGUGGAGAUAAUUGAAUCAUGGGGGCAGUUUCCCACAUACUGUUCACAUGGUAGUAAAUAAGUCUCAUGAGCUCUGAUGGUUUUAUAAAUGGGAGUUCCCCUGCACAGGCUCUUUUUGCCUGCCACCAUGGAAGACACCCCUUUGCCCUUCCUUUAUUUUCUGCCACAAUUGUGAGGCCUCCCUAGCUAUGUGGAAUUGUGAGUGCAUUAAACCUCUUUCCUUUACAAAA